AGUCUUUAGCUGCUAUGCCAGCAGCUCUCUACCACAAAAAAUCAACGAUAAAAAGCUGGGUCUGUGAACGAUGAUGAACGAAUAUAAAAACGGCGUGGUCGCCAUUUAUUUUAUUUUCAUAUUAUUAUUGUUGUUGUAUUUGUGCCAUACGUAAAAAAAAAUAAUAAUAAAAAGAAGAAGCAGCAGCAGUACUAGUAGAAACAUAAAGAAGAAGAAACGACAACAACAACAACAAAAUAGCCUUUGAAAAAAAAAAAAGCACAGAGGAUGAUGAUGAAUAAGAGGAGAAGAGCUUUAAGGUGUUGACAACGGUGUGAGGAGUGUGUAAGAGAGGUUAAGGCAAAGAAAAAUUAUAAAAAAAAAGAACUACACAUAAAGAGAUUUUGUUCAAAUAGUCAAAUGAAGGUAAUGAGUGUUGGUGAUAAAAGAGUGGAGCAGCAAGAGCGUUGGGGUGUACAAGAGGGGUUUAAAAAUAAACUAUAUAUGUUUCAACGAUUGUGUGUGUGUGUUGAUGAUGAUGAUUUUUUAUUGUGUUUUCUUCCGUUUUUUCUUUUUGUUAAUAAUUCAAUAUUUAAAAAAAAAAAUAUGUGUUGGUAAGCAGUUUUUUUACACACUCAUUUAUACUAUAAACUAUGGUGGCAUGGAUAUGGAAUUUCAUGUAAAUAAUUUUUUUGCUUUGGAAAGAAAACAACUGUGACUCAACGACAAUGAGUAUUCUACAGUAAGAAGAAAAAAAUAUCUUUUCCCAGAAAAUCUAACGAAAUAAAAACAAACUGCAAUAUUUUUUUCAAGUGACGUCACUUAAAAAAAAACAAAAACUGCAAUUUGUUCACACCCUAACCCUGUUCCCAAUAUAACACCCUUUCUAGCCUCCCUCAUUUAACUUCAUAACACAAAGAGUAACUUUAUAAUUUAUAAAAUUUUUUUUGGCCCAUAGGUUGAAUAACCUUAUUUAGCAGUUAUAAUACUAUUUAUUUUAUCUCAUUAAUUAAUCCAUAACUUUAAAAUUUGUUAUUUUAACUUAAACCCCCUCAUUAUCUUCCAUCACUUUCAUCUUCUAUCACUAGUUUCUUUUUAGCUUGACUUUUUCUCACUCUCUUUUCGUUCAACUUUCCUUUGGUGUAAAAUUGUUUGUUUUUGCAAUUUUACAAUUUGUUUUUUAACAAAUUCAUCAUACUCACCUUAAAUUAAAACGUAGUAAAUAAACAGAGAAAUUUCUUCGUUUACGUAUUGUUUACAUUUUUAUUAACAUUUUUCCAAGUAUUUUUAUUUUAUGCAAAAAAAAAAAACACAAAAAAACUUUGAUUAUUAUCUGAGAAAUCCCGUAAUAACAUUGUUAUUGUGAAAUGCAAAAAAAAGUUGACAUUUAGUGUCAUUACUUGACUGGUGGCGUCUUGUUUGUGUGUGUGAUGUAGUGUGAAAGGGUUACCAGAAUGUUUAUUUUAGAAAAUAAUGUGACAUUGCCAUUUUUUAAACCCGCGGGAAUAUAAUGUUUCAAAUACAUUUUAAUAUAGAUUAAGUAGCUUUGAGAGACGCUUUUUUAUAGAAAGUUAUCAUAAGAAAAUUGUUUCUUAGAAAGAAGUUUCCUACGAAAGCCUUAUCCAAUAGAAUAGUGACACUGAAAGUGGAUUACUAUACCACUUUUCAAUAGAACACUACCAUUGAAAGAUAUUUUUAAAAAAAUACUUUUUCGUAAGGUAUUUUUAAAAGUUGUAUUCUUUGAAGCCGCUUUCCAAUAUCCUAUACAAUAGGGACUUAAAAAAUGCUCAUUCCAAUAGAAUAAUGUACUUUAGGAAGAUACUUUUCAGAAGAAGAGUCCUUUAGGAAACCACUAAAAGUGCUUUACAAAAACUCUUUUUAAUGGAAUAUAAUUCCUAAUAAAAUAAUCUCUUCAGGAAAGCCUUAUUAAGGACUACUUAGUCUUUUUGUAAGCCAGUUUCCCAUGGUAGUGUUUUAUAAAGACCCUAUCGAAUAAAACAGUAACUUAGGGAGAACGUUCCAAUAGAAUACUGUCUUAGGAUGAUCAUAACCUCUUCAAAGGAAUAAGUUCCUAUAAAGACCCUUUUCAAUCGAUUUAUAGUAAAAAGACCCUACAAUCUUAACAUUAGACUUCAUUCAACAAAAUAAUGCUUAUUAUAAGAAGAAUAGGCUACUAGCGAUGUUGUUUGGAUCUUACGAAGACCAGUAAACUUUUCCAAUAGGCUAUAGACUUAGGAAGGCUAUAUCAAAUAUAAUAAUGUCUUGAAAAGAACUUUUCAAUAUGAAACCGAAUGGAAUUACGCACGUUACAAUGUUCCUAUUUAAUAGAACAAUGACUUUUGAAGGAAAUUUUCCAAAAGAAUAAUAUUUUCUAUAGAUAAGUCUCACAAGAAGACUCCUUUCAAAAUGAUAGUCUCUUAGGAAGAGCAAAGUCUUGGAAAGACUUUUUGAAAUUAAAUAUUAUCAUCAAAGAAUCUUUUCCAAAAGACUAGUGUUAUAGAAACAUUGCUUCCAAAAGAAUAAUGACUUAGGAGGACUAAAUCCAGUAGAAUAGUUUCUCCUUGAUUACCUUAGAUGCUUUCACAAAAGAACAAUGUCUUAGAAAGGCUACGAUAGGAGUUUAUUUAUUCCAUGUGGUAAUAAUUAAAAACUUUAAACUCUGGUAACCCUAAAGUUAAUAAAAACGUCGAUUAAAGUAAAUACCGGGGAAAAUUUUCUAACAAAAGAUAAGAAGCUACACAUAUUAAAUACAUACACUGAACUCAGGAUUCAAAACAGGUACACUCUUGACAUUAACAUAGGCCUACUACUAACAAAUAAGACAUGAUCAAUUAAUAACCGAUUGCUCAUAAAUAACAAGGUCAAGUCGAUACUCUUAUUUUUAGGAAAAAACACAAGCAUUUACAAUGUCACUGAAAUAAAAUAAAACAAAACCAAAAAAAACUACUGAGUCAUUAAUGAGUAAUUACGAAAACUAAACAGAAUCUCGAAUACAAGUAAAAUUAACUGCAAGGAGAAAAAAAGCUAUAACAAGAAUAUCCUUCUGAUAAAUGCAUUUACGAGAGAUAUACUCUAUUCACUAACGAGCAACGAACAAACGAGCGUUUACUUUGGGUAGACAGUUGAAUUUUUGCCUCAGCGGCGUUACGCGACGUUAAAAUUUUCGUGCGAAGCUACACUACUUAACACCAGGCAAACAAACUACGCGUUUCGAACAACAGCAGAACACAACACAGAAACAAAAAAACAACCGAACGAAUACUUUUCUGCUUCUUCUUUUUCUUUUUCAAUAUUAUUCAUCCGUUCGUAUCAAAUAAAAAAGUACUGUGAAUUUUUUUUUUUUUUUCUUUAAU